UUAGGUAGCCAUUUAAAAAUUCCGACACAUGAUACUGAGAAUCUGUCUGCAUCAGAUGAUUACUGCUCUAUCACUUCUUCUUUAACUAGAGCAAGUUCUAUCUCCGGUUCCUCUGGCAGCACAGUUGGACGGAGGAGUCUAAAAUCUCAGCGUGUGUUUACUCCUCGUUCAGCAAUGGAUCUGACAACAGGGAACAGAGUAAAGGUUAUUCUGUCCUCUGGCAGAAUUGGCACUGGAAGAGUUUGUAAUGUGGGCCAGUUGCCCGGGAAGGCUGAAUUUCAUGUGGGUGUGGACCUGGGGAAUCCAGAAACCUGUCAACACGAAAGACAUUGUUACUCCCUCAGUAAAUCAGGAGGAGUAACAGUCAUCCCUUUUAGCAAAGUGCUCAUGGCUUGGGAAUAAUUAAAAGAAGAUGACAUUUUUUUUUCUUCAAUUAACAAUAAAUGAUGAAUUUCUGUCAAUACAUUGGAAAAGAGGAAGUUUCAACAUACCACUUCUUAAUGCAUAUUUACAAAGUUUACUAUAGCUAGAGAAAAAAGUAUAAACUGUAUACAAAUGUAAAGGCUUAAAAGGACAUUAAACUGUAGUUAUAGGCUGUUUGGAAUGCACAUUACUUCUACAUGCUUGUAAAUAAAUGCAAAAAUAUUUUAAAAAUGAUCGAUGUAAGGCUAAAAAAAAUAUCAGUAUAUUUUGUUAGAAACCUUUUCUUUUAGAAGUUGGCUAUGUCCACUCAAGGAGGGAUACAGUAGUUUCACAGUUUGAUUGACACAUUGUAUCCCUCUUUCUCAUGAACCAGCAAUUAGCUUCAAAUGCGGACCCCUCUCUUUCUCGCACAACCUCUAUUUCCUGUUCAUGACAAGAACUGUUUUUAAGAGCAAUGAAGAUACUAGGUAGUGAAUAAUAUUUUAGUUAUAAGUCCAUUUAAGUUCCAUAAAUAGCAGUGUAAUUGUAGGAUGAAGAAAAGUUUAAUACAUAUUUAUAUCUCCAAAAUAAACUUACUGGAUAUCAUGCCAUUUGAAAAAUGAUUUAUACCAUAACCCUUACUACUGUAAAUUUAAAUGAUGCUGUCAUAUAUCAUUAUACACCUUCCAUUAAGCCGAUAAAAGGUCAGGUUACUCGCAAGUGAUAUUGGGUUUAUCGCAGCUGUUUGUGCACGUCGGAUGUAACAUUUGUAUUACAAGUUGAAAGUAAACGCAGUCGUUUAAAUGUGUUUUCGGAUAUCGCAAACUCAGAGCUCUGGAUAACUGUUUUGCAAAACAAAAAAGGGUUCACAAAAACCGUCAAAAAUACAUUUAAAAGUACAGUUACACUCAUAAUAACACCAUCUAAUAAAAAUUAUUUUAAAAAAAAUUGCACAAAAAAAAGUUACAAAUGCUCAAAGAUAUGAGGUCUCAGGUGUUAGAAAAAAAAAAGGCAGGCAUAGGGCUUUGACAUUAAGAUAUACACAUAUACAUGUCUAAAUAUGUAUAUGUAUGUAAAAAACCCUUUUUUGCUCCAUUGAAAUCUAUGGGGGGAAUACGUUAACGCGGCCGCGAUAUUCUAACAUUGUACAUUUGUGUGCAUUGGGUUAUUGCAAAAAUGUUUUACUUUUGACUUGUAAUAUGAGCGCUUACUGACGUAUGCAAAAAGCUUACUUCUAGCAGAGUUAGCGUCAAGAGGAAGCAUUAAAUACCGCUUCACUUGUAAUCUGGCCCAAAAUGAUUAUGUAAUAAAGAUGUCUUGGUUAAUUAAAUACAUAUUAAUGGUUCUAAAACACAAAACAUAAUUUAAGUAUUUGCACAUAAACACACACGUCUACAGUUCUGAAAUUGGAAGCAGGCCAUAAAAUGUGUUUGUAUUACAAAUACCAAGAAUACUACUGCAUACAUAAAACACAUUAUAUUUUAGUGACCUAGCAUGAAACAUGUUUUUUUAAUGAUCUUGCCAUGAGUUAAAUUAAUAACAUACAAUGCCUUUUUUAGGUGUAACAACUAAUCAACUGUAUUGAAAGUAUGGCAUCUAACAUUUAAAUUUUAGGAUGGUCAGACUUACGUGACGUUGUAAAAAGCACAGAAUAAACAUCUCACAUUUUUGGAUUA